CGCGGGAUGGAGCAGCAUGGUAGCUCGUCGGGCUCAUAACCCGAAGGUCGUUGGUUCAAAUCCGGCUCCCGCAACCA
rnacentral:tRNA from 1 species